rnacentral:lncRNA from 1 species
UUCUUGUCUUCUCUUAGGAGAUUUGGAUACCUUCUCUGCCUAGGAUAAAGUCGGAGAGAAUGGUGACUCUGAAAAUCAUGCUGGUGACACAAUUCACCAUAAUUUUGAAUGGGUUCCGUCAAUUUUCUUCAAAAUGAUUGUGCUUUUUAGAGAACACAUGAUGUGACCACAUAAAUAUUGGUCGAAAUUAUUGCUUUUCUUUGCACAAGUCACGUGAUUUACAACCCAGAAAGAUUUUGUUUUCAGAUUUUAGAGUAGCUACAGUAUUGGAGACAUUCAAUUGAUAAUCAGAUUACAUCAACCCCUACCACAGUGAAUUAUCAUGUAAAUUUCAACCUAUCAUGCCCUUCUUGAUCAUAGCAAAGGAAGUUUGGGGAUCUCAACAAGGAACUUUUUUCCAUUAACAUGUAUGUCUUUGAGUUCUUUUACUUUUUAAAAUACUAAGUUUUCAAUUUCUGUUGUAAGUAGAAUGAGGUUACGCAAAAUACUAUAAAUCUUGAUUAUUAUUUGAUUUAUUGAAUAUCUAAUUUUACUUUUGUACUGCUUUUUGAAUAAUGUUGAGCUAAACAGCAUGUGCUUUUUCUAUUAAAGAAAUAUUGGUUGUUACAAGUUGAUUUUAUAUUGUUCUUUGACAAUCUAGAAUUUGUUUACUGGGAAAUGACAUUUUGAUAACUAGGUUGAUUUUGUGGUGGUGACAGAUGAUAGAAAAGGAACCAGAUGGACCCAGGAAAAUUUAGCUCUUGUUGAUAACAAUCUAAAUUCCUUGCCAUUAAAGUUCAAGUUUGAGGAUAGGAGCCUCUCCACUGGAGAAAUUAGUAUGGGAGAUAGACCUUGAAUCUCUUUUCUGUGAUUUGAAUAUGGGUCUCAUGGAAAGUGACCGUGGCUGCAUGAAUCCUUCAACAGUAAUUUC